UUUCCCAAUAGCGGAGAAAAGAAACCAACAGGGAUUGCCCUAGUAACGGCGAGUGAAGCGGCAACAGCUCAAAUUUGAAAGCUAGCCUUCGGGUUCGCAUUGUAAUUUGUAGAGGAUGAUUUGGGGAAGCCGCCUGUCUAAGUUCCUUGGAACAGGACGUCAUAGAGGGUGAGAAUCCCGUAUGUGACAGGAAAUGGCACCCUAUGUAAAUCUCCUUCGACGAGUCGAGUUGUUUGGGAAUGCAGCUCUAAAUGGGAGGUAAAUUUCUUCUAAAGCUAAAUAUUGGCGAGAGACCGAUAGCGCACAAGUAGAGUGAUCGAAAGAUGAAAAGCACUUUGGAAAGAGAGUUAAAAAGCACGUGAAAUUGUUGAAAGGGAAGCGCUUGCAAUCAGACUUGUUUAAACUGUUCGGCCGGUCUUCUGACCGGUUUACUCAGUUUGGACAGGCCAGCAUCAGUUUCGGCGGCCGGAUAAAGGCUCUGGGAAUGUGGCCUCCACUUCGGUGGAGGUGUUAUAGCCCAGGGUGUAAUACGGCCAGCCGGGACUGAGGUCCGCGCUUCGGCUAGGAUGCUGGCGUAAUGGUUGUAAGCACCCGUCUAAAACGAACCGAACC
rnacentral:rRNA from 1 species